AUGGAGUCUCUGCACAUGUGGGUGAUCCUUCUCGCUCUCAGUGGUUUUCAGCAGCAUGUUCUUACCAUGCCUACAUCAACUCUUUGGGUCAGACCAGGUGAAAAUGCCACCCUGUAUUGCCCCCUGCUGGACACUUUGCACCGCAACAAGUCCUCACCCACUGCCUCCACCAUCAGCUGGUACAGGACGGCUGCAGGUCAGGGACCACAAAUGCUGUUGACAGUGAUGCCCUCUAACACCCCCAACGUGACGUACGGAGCCGGAGUUUGUCCAGAGAAGGUGUCCGUGGGGGUCAAUGGGUCCCUGUUGCUGCGCGGCUUCCAGCAAAACGAUUCUGCUGUUUACUUCUGCGGGAUGAGCCAGGGGAGCAAGCCGGAGAAGAAACCCGACGCUCCGAGCCACAGAGGGCAUUAGAGCUCCUGCUCUUCAGUUUCCUCUGCCUGUGUUUAUGUAUGACCACACAUCUUUCAGAAAUGAAGUAAAGUUUACUCAGAAAUUGGAUCAGUCUUGAUGUUUGUUUACUGCAGAGUUCAGUUAGAGCAUAUAACAAGUGUAGUAUAGAGUAUAAACCAAGUACGUGUAGUCUGGGAAGUACACUAACGGAAUACUUCUUCAGACUAUAUUGGAACAUUUGAAAUGUUUAAAUUGCAUAGAUAGUACAUAAAAAGUAAACUUCAGGUAUAGUGCCUCAAUUUUAGUAUAGACUAAGUCAGGGGUCUGUAACCUUUAAUGCUUCAAGAGCCAUUUGGACCCGUUUCUUACCAACCAAAACCCAGCAAGAGCCACUAAGUCAACAUUUAGAAAAUACAUAUUAUUAAUGUUUUUGAGGACAUUAAGCCAUUCAUUCCUCAAAUGUGGCAUAUAAAUACUUACAAAUAUCGAAUUACAACAUUGUUAUAUUUCUAUUGCAGCACACUUACGUUUAUUUCAAAAUAAAAUACCUUCUGUGUGAAAUAGAUUUCCCCUGAUGCAACAGAUUAACUUGCAAUAACACUUUAAGAACUUUACCACUAAACAGCACCUAGACUUGAAAAAAGAAUACGAGCUUUAAACCUAUUCUAAUAAUAAAGCACUCUGACAGUAGAUCAAACCCUUUUAAUGGAGGGAUAAAAACGCUGCAUAUGGCUCCAGAUCCAGGUUGCAGGACUGGACCAAGUAUACACUAAACCGACUACCUUUGUCUAAGGAAAAUUCUUCAAAACAUACAAAGAACAAAAGUUUUUUUUUUAGAUAAAUCAUUAAAAAAUGGACUGAUCUGUCCGAUCUGAAUUUAAAUCUACCAAAUCAAGAGUUUAUUCUUGACCAGCAAUGCGAGCAGCUUCUUUGUGGACAUAAACAACAAAAAGGCUUGGAAAUAACUACAAAUGUUUAUAAAGUGUUUUAAUAAAGAUACAAUGUUGCAUCAUGUGGCCAUAAACUACAGAGGGGAGUUUCACAAUCCUUUAAUUUAUUCACAUGACGUGCCAGACUUUAAAAUGUUGGUCUGAAUACAUCUUCCAUUACACCAUACUUCUAAAGUUAAGCAACUACACACGAAAAACUGAUGUACAUAAGGUAAUGACAGAAAGUAUUACUUAAACAAAGAAAAUAAUUUUCUGUAAACAUUAAACGUGUUUUUUUGUGUUUACUUUGCAUUUUGAAAGCCACAGAAAUGAAGUUAUUAGCACAGUUGGAGAAAUUCUCACAACUCUAAAGAUCAACUUAAGAUAAACCUGAAAUAAACUAGACAAAUUUAAGAACAAAUUUAUGAACAAUUUUAAAAACAAAUCAAGAAAAAACACUUUUAACCAUCAAAUUUUGAGGGAAUUUGGAAAUCUUAAAAUAAAACCUGUUGGAAUGAACCCUUCUAGAUACUGUUUUGCGCAGAACAGUUUAACAUUUAAUUAAAGAAUAAAACACUUAAGAAGUAAGUUAGAUUCUUUGUUUAUUCUAUCCAGCCUUUAUCAAAACAGCAAAAAACAUUGUGUUUGCGUGCUAAGGAGUUUGUGUUUGACCGUUAAACAGAGAUCUUAUUUUGGUUUCUGGAGAGGAAAUUUCCUGUUUUUCAGUCUUUCAUCAACUGUAGGAGCUAACGGUCAUCUUGAUCCCAGAGCAGCUCUUUCCUCUGGAGACUGCUGGCGUUCUGCUCCAACAGUUUGUUGAGGUUCCUUCUUCCAGAAUAAGAAGACUUCCUGUGUUCACUGAUGAAGAGCAAAGCCGGAGGCUUCAGAGAGGAGCUGCAGCACCUCUGAGCAGGUAAAACAAGACCUGAGACAUACUCAAAUAUAGAAAUUCAUUUACAUUCAUCUAGGAAACAUUUUCUGCAAAAGACAAACUUGUUUGGAACAAGUCCUCCUAAAUGGUGUUCUUCUGGGCUCUGUACUUGGUCUGGUUCCAUUUCCAUUGCUAAACUACAAGCAUCCACAUCUUCUGUUCUUCAGAGAACCUGGCUGUUAACCCUUGUGCUAUCAUAGGCACUUUAACAUUGGGAGUUGGGUCAUCUAGACCCACUAGACAGUGCUCUGAACCUUUUUUCUUCAAUGAUUUGUGAUCUUCACUGGUGUCCAUGGAUUACGUGAAAUCUUUCCACCUUUAUCCACCUUUGUCAUGGUAGGGAGAACACGUCAAUGUAAGGGUGGGGUCACCUAAGAUAGCACAAGAGUUAAAGGUUCAUCCAACAAACAUUUUGCUGCUCAACUAAAUAACUCCUUCAAUUUUCUUUUUGAACUGUCUGUGACUUAACGUUUGAAGUUUGGAUAGAAUGGAGAACUUAGGCAUGUGUCCUUGAGUUU
rnacentral:lncRNA from 1 species